GCUCGCAUGGCCUAGUGGUUAGUACUACCGACUACAAAUUUUCCAUCGCGGGUUCAAUCCCCUCUGGGGUCA